AAUAAUCGAGACACAUUGAACCAAGACCAAGUGAUCUAAACAAAUGCCCAAGAUAAACAAAAAAUGAAUCACAAAUGUUCAAGACAUAUCGAACCAAUGAGAUUCCUCCUCAGUGAGCCUUCUCAUAUGUGGCAGAUGUCUUUAAUAAUCUCCACCCCCUCCGCCUAAUGUGAGGGUGGAACCACCAUGUUGACGACGACUAUGCCAUAUCCCCCUCUUCUGAAGUACCAAAGCAAACUCUACCAAAACUGAUAAACUUUAUUAAAAUUGAUAUAGGGUGAAAAAUACACAACUUCGGACCUUGUGGAUAGAUCCGGAAGGGGGACUAAAUUAAAAAAAUUCUGAAAGUCCAGGAACCAAACCAAAAGUAUCAAAACUUCAGGGGACGAAUCUGCAAUUUUCACCAACUUAUGGGACCAAACUAUAUUUUUUCAAAAAUUGAGUGACUGAACUAUAAAGUUUUCAAACUUUAGGGAUUGAUAUGUAAUUUUUCCAAACUGAGGAAUAUUCUUAGAAUAUUUUACUUAUUGACUAGACCGUUGAUCGAAUGCUGACUCAACACUGACUAUUUGCUGAUAAAGCGCUGAUGUGGCACUGAUGGGCUAUUGACUUAGUGUUAGUUGGACACUGACUGGCGCUGACAAAGCGAUGCAUGUCGCUUACGUGGCGAUGGUUGGAAGCUAAUUUGAGUGUUGACGAGGCACAAACAUAUCGCUAAUGAGGUGAUGAUAUCAUGCUUACGUAACCAGAUUGCGCAUGGAAUGAAGAUAUGGCAUGGAAUCAGGGCGUGUCAGCACGUGGACGCGUGUCAGAGAGUGAAGUCACUUGUCAUCUUCCUCGUGUUGGCCUGUGCAGCGCGUGGAGAGACUGGUCUUCACGCGUGGAAAGGUAGGCGGUGGGUGUGCGCGUAGAUUCGAUUCUCUGAAACUCAAAAGACGCAUGAUGGCGCAUGCAACGUGGUUUUAAGGCUCGAUUUAAAUUAGGAGAUUUGUAUACGCGAUACGAACACGGUGGUAUUCUCAAAAAAGGUUUUAAAACACAAAUAUAGAAAAUUAAAACUGAACCUAGAGCUCUGAUACCAAUUGUUGUGCUCGAAAUCGAUUCGCAUCAAUCACACACAAGCUCAGAAACACAAACACACAAACACAAUGAUUACGAGUUUUAGCAAAAUUACAAUUUCUCCAAGUGGUGUGGUCAGUAAAUUCAACGAUUUGAAAAUAUUUACAGAUUUAUGAGAAUAUUGUGGUUGUUUGUUAACCAUAAUUGUUCAUUUUUCUCGUUUAAUUUUUAUUUUUAUGUUUAAUUUGAAAAACACAAACCUUUUUGUGUUGUAAAAAAUAAUGAAAAUAAAACUAAACAAAACUUCACUAUUUUUGAAAAUAGUGAAAACAAGAAAAAAGGGUUUUGUGUUUGUUCUACAAAAUUUUUCAUUCAAAAUUUUUUAUCCAAAUUUUUUCAACCACCGCCUCCACCACCCACCGCCCAACCUCACCACCACCUCCAACCAUCAUCACCGCCGCCACACCAACCACCGCCACCUCCAACCACCACCGCCACCACCAACCACCACUCCAACCACCGCGCCGCCCAACUCCACUUCAACCACCAUCGCCACCACCACCACUACCUCCACCUCCACCUCAACCCACCACUACCGCCCACCUCCCUCCACCACCGCCCCGCCACCACCACCAACCUCCAACACCAUCACCGCCGCCACCACCACCACCACCUCCACCGCACACUUCCACCUACCCAACCACCAACGCCGCCGCCACCUCCAACACAACCACCUCCACCGCACCAUCCAAACCAAACUCAACCACUACACCCCACACUGCCGCACCAUCUCCCACCUCCACCUCCACCUCCACCUCCACCUCCUCCACCACCUCCACCGCCACCACCUCCCCACCAACGCCACCUCACCACCUCCAACCACUACCGCCCCUUGCAGCACCUCCAACCACCACCUCCACACCAACCACACCUCUAACCACCGCCACCACCUCCAACCUCCACCUUGCCAACCACCGCCACCACCACCACCUCCAACCACCUCACCGCCGCCACCACCCACCAACCACCUCCACCGACACUUCCAACUCAACCGCCACAGCCGCCGCCACAGUGCUCCAACCACACACCUCCCACCGACACCCCAACCACCUCCACCACCUCCACCCCACCAUUGCCGCCACCAUCUCCACCCCACCUCCACCUCCACCGACACCUCCUCCACCACCUCCACCGCCACCACCUCCUCCACCACGCCACCUCCACCACCUCCAACCACUAACGCUGCCAGCACCUCCAACCACCACCUCCACCACAAACACCACCUCUAACACCGCACCACCUCAACCGGCCACAUCCAAACCCACGCCCACCACACACCUCCACCUCCACAUCCACCUCCAAACCACACGCUGCCACCACCUCCAACCGCCACCUCAUCCACUUACCUCAACCUCCACACCUCCAACACUACCGCCGCCACCACCUCCACCUCUCAACACCGCCACCACCACCACCGCCACCGGCCACCUCCAAACACCAACUGUCGCCACCACCUUCACCACCAACACCACCGACUGCCACCACCUCUACCUCCACCUCCACCUCCUCCACACGCCACCUCCACCACCGCCACCACUCCUCCCCCGCGGACCAUCGGCCACCACCUCCAACCACUACCGUGCGCCACCUCCACCACCACGCCACCGCCACCACCAACCACCAUCGCCACGACACCACCACCGCCACACCACCACCUCCAACCACCAUCAAACGCCGCCACGUCCACCUCUAACCACAACCGGCCGACGCCACCUCCAAAACCACCAUCGCCACCUCCUCUACCACCGCGAACCACUACCGCCAUCCAUCUCUUUUGAAAAUAGUUUUCAAAAAGUGAAAACAAAAUAUUUUUUAUUUUUAAAUAGUUUAAAAAUAGGUGGACACAAACGUAUUUUUAGUUUCUAUUUUACAAAAAAUUAAAUAAAACAAAACAAAAAUUAAACAAAAACAAAAAACAGAAAAAUGAAAAAGUUACCAAACAUCCCCAUUGUAUCUCACUCUCUCAUUAGUGGUCUGGGGAUGACAAAGCAGCCACCAUCUCCCUCACACUAUCUCUGCCUCACGCUAUAUGAGAUUCUCUCCCCCUUUUUUUUCUUGUUAUGUUGUUUUCACUAGAAGUCCUUUUAAAAGCUGAAAGUUUCAAACCAAAUCCAACUAGGAGUUUGAAUCCAAAUACAAUAGGAAGUUUGAAGCCAAAUCCAACAUCAUCAACUGUUAUUACUAAGGAUGUAAACGGCUCGAUAAUGGUUCUAUUUGGUUGUUUUUUUAGAAAAAAAAAUUCACAUAACCGAAUUAAUGAAUUUUAUAUUUAAUUGAAAUGAAACUGACCAAUAAAUCUAUAAAAUUAAACCAUAUAUUUUUUAUUUUUCUACUGGUUCAAUUUAUUUUAAAAUCGGUUUGGACUAACAAAAAUGAAGAGUUUAUGCAGUUAACAAGUACGUAACACAUUGAUGUAAAAAAAUUAAAAUGGUUACAUUGCUUUAAAAUUACUCACUUGGGAUUAUUCUGCACCAAGUCAAUCGACCAUUAAAAAAAACACUCCAAAACACACUUGUAGGUUUUGUAACAUCUUAAUCCAACUAAAAUUUUUAUCUAUGAUUAUAAACAACUCUUUUACGCUCAAACACUAUAAGGUGACAAUAGAUUUAUAAAAGAUGUUAUAUAUUGACAUAAUUGAUUAUUGUUAUGUAUUUGUGAUAUUGUUCAGUUUCAGUUUAUUUCGGUAUUUUGGUUUCUAAACCCGAGACUGAACCGAAAAAUGGAUUUUCUAUAAUUUUAGGACUGGACAUGACAAAUUCAAUAAAAAAAAAUUGGCCAAAAAUGGUCGGUUUGAUCCAAUUUGAUCGAUUUAUUCUGUUCAAUCAAUAUUUUUUUAUAUCGCUAUCUAUUACUAACGGAAAGGGUUUUUCUAUAAUACAACUUCAAACCUCAUCAGAGGGGAAUGUAAUUUCUCAAACGAUUACAAUUGGGUAACGAAACUCAUCAAUUGCAAUGAGCGUAUGUUGGAGCAAAAAUCACAAAAUUGCAGAAUACUUCAAAGGCACGUCACGAAUGUCGCUUUCCUUAAAGCGUUAUUCGCCCCCACCAAUUCUGUAACACUGGUAUGCACUGGGUUCACAGUGAAUCGCUUUUAGGACACAAUAAAACCUCAGAAUUUAAUCCGAUGUCUGACUGCGUUGGCACAAAGGAAAUCAGACCAAAAUACUUUCAGAUUUUCCUAGGUAGCCAAAAAUCUGAAAUUCUGUUUCUGUAGAAAACAGAAUUCAAGAACAAGUUUGAAAACUGUAAUUUAACAAAGGAAAACAAAGAGAAGUUCGAAAAUUAAGUGAGUUUAAUGUUGGGAAAAUCUGUCAAUUUAUAACACUGAAUAGGUCUUUUCAUGGAAAAGGUUGUAUUGGAAGAAGAUGACUGAGAUCAAAAUCUACAGUCACAUUUAACUGUUAUUUAUAACAAUAACAUUAGGUUUAAACCAUGUCCAUCGAUCACACCCUUUUAGUAUUCAACGGUUGUAGUUUUGUAAGACGCACAUCUUCCAAGAUCCACAUCAAGCUGUUUUCACAUUUAUUAAUUAGAGUGAUUUCACCAUACGAUCUUGUAAUCUUAAUAUUAAUGGUGAUCGUUUGUGAUCAUCAUGAAUAAAAAAUCAACGGUCUGUGAUCACACGACACGGCGUGAACGUGCAAUGUGCGCCACUAAUAGCGCCACAAAAACGCCACGCGAGCGCCCAAUGGUGUGAGACGGUGCACCGUCCUACAUGUGCAAAACACUUACACCAAAGCAUAGUGGCCUAGCACGUCAAGACAAACAAGUCAUAAUGACUAAGCACUUAAAAACCUUUUUACUUCAUUCUCUUUUUUAAUAUGGGACUCCAAAACUUCAAAACAUAUUACAUAUAUACAUAUCUUUGAAAAUAUUUCAAC
rnacentral:lncRNA from 1 species